CACUCAUGCCAGGCUGUGCCCAUGGGCAAAGGUGCACCAGACCCAUGUAGAGGGGAGGGGGCUGGGGAAAAGAGCUUUUCACUAACUCUUCCGACCUGCCAACCCAUUCCCUGCAGCCUUGGUCAGCCCUCUGGGAGCAAAGAGAGCCCCAAAGAGGAGAAAAGUCCCCAAAGUAGUUCCAGGGUGACAGGGAAAGAAACGAAGAGGAAAAGAGACUCACACCCCUCCUGGGCUCCUCCACCUGGGCAGGCAGGGAGCAGAAGAGAAGCCCAACCUCCUGCCGACCCCACUCUGUCAACUGUCCGUCACAAGUCCUGGGCCUCUGUCUUAAGCAGCCCACGACACCAGCAACUUCCCCAGCAGGCAAGGCCACUCUGGCGCGUGUAGGGGUGGCCCCACCCCAGCCAUCCCUGCCAGAGCCGGGGAACGUCUGAAGACAGCAGGCUGACAGGGCUCCAUUCCAAAGCCGUGUCCUGCAGAGAGCCUUCUCCAACUGCACCACUUGGUUGGCACUGCCCCUGGCACCCCAGCUCCUUCACCAGGCUGGGAUGUACAGUCGGCUGCGUGCACUUCUGCACCUCCCACUUGUUGAGCAAUGAGAAGUUUGUUCAUGCCUUUCUUUCCCCUUUCCUUCUCAUCAGCACCUAACAUAAUAAGGUGGAAAUGUACUAGAUGCUCAAUAAAUUAUGAAUGAAUGAUGGUG